UACGUAGGGUGCGAGCGUUGUCCGGAUUUAUUGGGCGUAAAGGGCGCGUAGGCGGACUGACAAGUCGGGGGUGAAAUCCCGAGGCUCAACCUCGGAACUGCCUUCGAUACUGUCAGUCUUGAGGUCGGGAGAGGUGAGUGGAACUCCGAGUGUAGAGGUGAAAUUCGUAGAUAUUCGGAAGAACACCAGUGGCGAAGGCGGCUCACUGGCCCGAUUCUGACGCUGAGGCGCGAAAGCGUGGGGAGCAAACAGG
rnacentral:rRNA from 1 species